AGGUACAAGUGGAUAUAUUUUCAACUGAAACACAUUUUGUUCUGAGAGAGUAGCUGUGUUCCUUUGCAAAAGAAGAAAUCUAUCUUUCAGCCGUCCAUCAAAAAUACUCUGAUCAAAACUACAAAAAUGCUUCUUCCACAGGACCAGAGCUCAACAUCAUCCAUAGCAAUAUGACAGCUACAGUAACAAAGACCUUCAGGAGUAUUACCAGAAAGUUUGGAGUCUGCUAGCAAUUGAGUGACUUUUCUGCAUAUUAUACUUGUAUUUUCCUUUGAUAAAACAAUAUUAAAAUAAUCCAUUUUGGAGUGUGAAGCAAUGAAUUGUAACUGAAGAUAUGGUGCAAGAAGAUAAUUAACUAUUUUUGAUGUUAAAACAUUUGUUGAAGUGAUGAUAAAAAUAGAAGAGCAUUACUGCCCACUCUGAGUGUAUGCAAUCAAAAGGCACCUGCAUGACUCUGGAUUUUAAAUUGAACAUGGAAUCAAAUAAUAA